ensembl:snRNA U6 U6 spliceosomal RNA
GUGUUCACUUUGGCAGCACAUAUACAAAAAUUAUAACAAUACUGAGAUUAGUGUGGCCCCUGCCCAAGGAUAGCAUACAAAUUAGUGAAAUAUUCCAUUGUAAACAAAUUUUU